ensembl:lncRNA
GAGCUCCUGACGACAGCUGUUACCUUCUCAGGAGGGUUGGGCUGUGCUGUGUGGCCAAGGUUACACUCUGGGCAGUACCCAGACUCAUGCCAGGGAGGGUCAGGUUGGCUAUCAGAGCAAUGUCUGCUCCAGAGAGCGGCCAGGCGCUGGCACAGCUGCCCAGGGGUGGGCAGUCCCCGUCCAUGGAGGUGUUCAGAGCUGCGGGGAUGUGGCACUGAGGGGUGGGCAGUGGGUGCAGUGGGGUGGGUGGGGUUGGGCUGGGGGGACUCAGAGCUACAGCUGCAGCAGUGCACAGUGUGCAGCGCUGGCUGAGGGAUUUGCUUUGGAACCACGCAGCUAUGGAGCAGAGUGUUAAUCUACAUAAAGCAAUGAGAUCUAAGGAGAUUAGAGCUUAGAUUCAUAAGGCUGUCCGGACACCUCCAUUUCUACCUAAACCCACAGUUCUGACCCUAAAGUGCUCCAAUUAGGUGAGGAAAAACAAAAUCUGGAAAGGCAGAUGGAGAUGAGUCGAGAAAUGGUAGUGUUUAACUCUCCAUUAUGCCAAACCUGCAGAGGAAUUAUGUCGUUUCAAAAUAUUGAUUCUGUGUAUCAUUCAUGUUUUUGGGCAGUGAGGGGAAGAACCAGGUGGGCUACGUUGCACAAACGAAGCUCCAUAGCAUAUACCUUGGUGCCUCAGUGCCUGCAGAACACGAUGCAAUUAUUAAUGGCAGAACAAAACCAGACGGUUGGUACUGUAGCCAAAGGUGGGUUUAAUGCUUCUGCUUUUGCAACAACUUAUAAAAUACAAAGUUAAAAAUAUGGUAUCAUUUUUAUCUGCAUUAAAAACUGGCCGUAUGCUUUGUUUUACUAUAUACACCUAAAUAAAGUAUAUUUUAGGUUAUUUUGUGCUCAAACCACAGCAUUAAGAAAGAUAAAGAAUCAUAUUUAUCAACAAACCAAAACGUCGCAGCUGUACAAGGUGAAGAAAAGUCCUACAAAAAUAGUUCUGAGGUUUUGCUGCAGAUCUGACACCCAUCUGCUUUAAAGGAACAUUCACCACCCCCAACUGCACGGCCCUCAGCUGCACCUGCUGCAGCACUGCUCCGAGACCACAAAUACAGCACAGCUAUGGAAUAAAAUAGCAGGUCUUCACUCUGCUGAGCUAUUUCAGCUGCAACUCAUUUGUGUCGUUGCUGAUUCAUAAAUGCAUCUUGCCCAUUGAAAGGCAUGGGGCAAGCAAUCACAUCCUUCCUAAGGAUUCACUUUGAAGUUUAUGCGGAGGGUGGUUUCUUGUUUAUGUUUUAACCCCAAGCCAACUCAAGGGCUACCAAAAGGAGGGAGCUGCUAUCAAAACUAGAUAGAGUAUCUCUACUCCCUGCUAAUGAAUUUACUCCCUGGCCAUGGAAUUGCUCUGACAUACCCUGUAUUGUGUUCCUGGGGAAAGCAAAAGGCUGCAGUUAAACAAAGACCCAACCUGGGACAAUUCUACUCAUGUUUCUUUUCUAUAGCAUUUAGAUAUUCAAACUAUUCACACAAAUAACAGCUACUGAUCAAUUAGAUCUGAUAUAAAAUGCAGCAUUACAUUUCGAGCAGUGCAAAGAAGGUACCACGGGCCCAUGUUCACACUGCAGGUUAAAAAUAGUACAGAGUUCUACUAUUUUCUUGAGCUGUAGAGAUGCAGUAAUCUCCAAGGACAGAGCUGAGAGUCACUGUGGACAGGGUAAUAAAAUACCUGCACAGUGCACAGUAACAAUGAGAAGACUGAUAUGAAGAAAUUGCAUUAAAAUCGAACAGAGUGUGACUUCAUCAGGGCUCUGUGAUGCAGCCAGGAGGAACUAUGACCAACCCUGGGAGUUAUGUAUGGUGGCACCUUACAAAAACCAAGUAAUGGUUACUCUGAAAGGAGAAGGAUUGCAAAGAGCGUGAUAGGAGCUACAGGGAUUGUAAAGAGAAUCAAUUAGUUCUCAUUCUGACUGUAUUCUAUUGACUAAAAUACAGUCAGGCUUUCAGCUAACAGAAGAAAUAUAUGCACUGCGAUCCAUUUAAAUGGAAAAUCAUCCUCUCGGUGUGAUGGUUCAUAGUGUAUUGCUCGUGCAUUAAAAACAAUAUGGUGCUUCUUCGGUCCAGUGUAUUCCAGCAGAAAACUUCCCCAAGACCAAGUCCAGACGUAAUUUCUCUUCUUAAGAGACCUUAAAUUUUGACUACGUACUGUUCUGCUAACAGCUGCGUUCAAGCAUUGAACUCAGUUGCACCCAAUAGGUUCUGAGUCAUUUUGCAGUGCCUAAACUUUUAGAUACCUUUCAGCCUUCUACAUUCAGAGUAACUAUUUCAGUUUUUACAGCACAGAAACUGAAGCUCAGCCAUCUUUUUUUUCCUGGCUGACAUUGCUACCAGGAUUUGUAAAAAAACAACUGGAAAAUCUUGUUAAAAUGAACUGCCAACAAAGCAUAGCCUGGCUGCCCAGUAACAAAUAUGCUAUUGCAGAGCAAGCAGUGUCUUUAGAAACCAUUUUACAUUGCCAUUUUGCACCAGUUGAUAAACUGUACUGUCAGGAUAUGGGAAUUUGCUCAGGCACUACUAUCAUUUCAACUGAGCAUAUGUUCCUUUCUAGCAUGGAUAGAUACUACUGCUUGUAUCAACCUGAACUGGGAGCUGGAGAGCUCAAGAUGAAUUUCUUACCUUCAAGGUAACACAACCUUCUAAAACCAUUGUGCUUCUCAGUGAUCUGAUCUUUGAGCAGACUGUACUGCUUCUAUCACUGAAGGAAACUGUGGGGUGUUUGAAACAGCUGGCAGAACCACAGAAUCACAGGGAUCAGGGGAACCUCUGGAGAUCAUCCGAUCCAAUCCCACUUUGCCAUGAUUUAUUUCCAAGGGAACUAAAAUUUGUAUGGGAUUGGAGGAUAUUCAUUCUUUCCUAACCAAACUUUCUGGAUGCCAAUUUAGUGCAGCUCUGCUUAAUAAACUUAUCUCCCCAUCUGUCGCUUAACUGAAUUCAGUAUUCAUAUGAUAUUCAUCUAUUUAGGAAGAUUAUCUUGUUAAUAAAAGUCAACUCAGUGCUAGCUACAACUCCACACACAAUAUGGGAAGUGUUCUAGGACUAUGAUAAGAUUUCUCUAAGAAUAUUACAGUGUGAUAAAUGCCACUGGGAUAGUGACCUUUAAAAGCCUGUUACUAGAUUUUUGCAGCUUCAGAGCUACCAUUUUAAUCUACACUGAGUAGUGCCUGCCCUCAGAGCAGGAGAGGCUGGAAGCUGCUCUGCCUGCCUGGUGGGCUGAACCCUGCCCAAAGGCUCCAUAGGAACAGGGGACACUUCUCCUGACAGGGGAGAUUGCUUUCUUCCUGAACUUUGGCGGGUCACAGCCAUUUCCAUCCAGUGCAGAGGGUAAGCACUGCUAUUCUGUUCUGAACAGCAGCCAGCUCCAUUCCAGAGCAGCCAGUGAAGUGUCACAUCCAAAUAACACAACUUGGAUACCUUAAGAGUUUAAAACCUGCAGGUGUUUAAAAAUUACACAGGCCUGCAGACUGCUCAAAUGUUGAUUAAAUUAUCUGUGGCAAGCCACUAAGAUCAAGUUGGGUAACAAGCUGAAACAGACUUGUUCUAGCAUCACAACGGUUGGAAAGAAGGAAUCCCAGAGCAUCAGAUGGUAUCUUCAGCAAUUUGAGAGGACUGUGUAGAUCUGAAGCACCACUCACCUUUGCAUAAUAACGUUGUUCAAAUAAUACUGACUUUUUUAUUUCAGAUAGUUACCUGUCACAUUCACAAACUGUGCUUAUUGUAAAUCAAGUAAGAGUUUGGCAUGUAGGAAAGAUACCUGAAAUGGAUGCAUAUUCUGGAUUUUACAACAAACCCAAGGACCACAGCCAGAGGAGGCUUUCUGUUUAGAAUCCAGCUCCAUAGCACAGUCAAUGAGGCGAGCAUCGACCUCAUUUGGAACAGCUUCUAAGGGCUUGCACACUCGCUU